UACAAUAGAAUUGACGGGCCCGCACAAGCGGUGGAGUAUGUGGUUUAAUUCGAUGCAACGCGAAGAACCUUACCUGGUCUUGACAUCCCGGAGACCCUUAGGAAACUAGGGGGUGCUUCCAUCUGGAAGAAUCUGGAGACAGGUGCUGCAUGGCUGUCGUCAGCUCGUGUCGUGAGAUGUUGGGUUAAGUCCCGCAACGAGCGCAACCCUUGCCUUUAGUUGCCAGCAGUUCGGCUGGGCACUCUAAAGGGACUGCCGGUGUUAAACCGGAGGAAGGUGGGGAUGACGUCAAGUCCUCAUGGCCUUUAUGACCAGGGCUACACACGUACUACAAUGGCCGAUACAAAGGGCAGCGACACUGCGAGGUGAAGCCAAUCCCGUAAAAUCGGUCUCAGUCCGGAUUGGAGUCUGCAACUCGACUCCAUGAAGUUGGAAUCGCUAGUAAUCGUGGAUCAGCAUGCCACGGUGAAUACGUUCCCGGGCCUU
rnacentral:rRNA from 1 species